UUACUAAAUUCCUCGUUUAAACUAAAAGAGAUAGGUCACCCAGAGGUGAUAAUUCUAUAAUGAUUAAACCCUUAUGUCAUUCCGGACUUGUGUGAACUUCUUCAUUCUGCGGAGCAUGCAUUUUAAGACGUGUCUCAAUGCUUUUCUUUGUCCUAGCAAUGGAAGUCAAUUGUAACCAAAACCGUUUCCUGAAAAUGUCUUAAUCUACAUAAAAUCAUUCAGGUUUGGAACAGCAUGAAGAGUGUAUGAGAUGCAUGUGAGGACUGUCUCUGACAGCCAGCAUCAACCUGUAGCUGUCAACACCUGGGAAGGCUCCGGCUGCUCCUGGACGAAGUGCUGGUGAGGCCAGCAGAGGGAGCUCAUCCGGCCGUCUGUGCCUGGAGGCGGAGCACCAGAUCCCAGCCUUCACUCAUAAACAGGUGUCCAGCACAAAUGUUAAGAACAAAGAACAUAAGUCUCAUACAACAAAAAAGCAUUCGUAUUAAAAAUACUGAUCAAGUUCAUUAUACUAAUUUUAUGUUUUGAAUGUGGCCAUGGUUCAUAUUCAAAUGCAAAAUGUUUUCCUUAAUUGAAAUAAGCUAAACAGUUCUUGAAAAGACUAAAAUAAUUUAAAAGGAAUUUAUUUAGAAUUUUAAUUGCAUAGAGUCAACAGAAAUCAUGUGUAACUUUUUCUGUUAUUUUAUGGAUUUGUUUCUUACAAAACCC